GACACACCCUGUAUAAAAUCAACAUUCACUCUGGAAAUUAUUUAUAGCAUAAUUACUACAUAUCAGAUUUGAUUGACAGGCAUAUCGAUUUCGACCAAUGGGAAUUUUGCGUUGUGUGGGCAACGCGGUUUCAUUUCUCGAUGUGUUGUCUGCAGUCCCUCCUUUCCUUUCUCGUGCCCGGAAAUCUAAACCCACGGAAAGGAGGGACCGCUCACAGUCAAAACUUCUCCAGGUCCCCCGCUAAAUAUGUCCCCUCCAGUUACAAAUCCUUAAAAGAGGCCCUGAACCAAAUGUUAUACCUCAUAGCAAUAUGUAUUAUUAAAAGCAAUGCAUGAAGCUAGAAAACUCAACGUUAACUAUUAUUAAAGAAUCUAAAUUGUAUAAGCUAUUGAAAAAAAAUGCUGCGAAAGAGAGAGUGGCAAAAAAAUAUCGUACAUGGUGAUGGGAUAAGAUCCCGAGGUAAAUACAGAUGCCAAAAAUGGGGGGGUGAAUAGGGGUAUACAAAUCCACCGAUCCGCCCAAAUUUGAAGCAAAAUCCGCGAUCCGACAAUGGUCUUGUCUAAAUUUGAAUCUGCUAAAAGCUCUACUAUAAAGUCACAAUCCAGGAUCCGAACUAAAUUGCAAGCUAAAUCCACAAUUCAAGCCAAAAUAUUAGAUAAAUCUGCUGUAUUAAUAAGAUCCGCAAAUCCGUGUAAAAUAUUUGCCAGAUCCAAAAUCUGAACAAUUUUUUCUGUGAAAUCCGACGAUCCAAAAACCUAUUCACC